UUUGGGAAUGUGCCCUGACUGGAAUUUAACUCUACUGGAGAGAGAGAAAACAUAAAGAGUACCUACAUCAACACAGCGGCCAGAAGAGGGCAUCAGACCCCCUUGGAGACAGAGCUAUAGACAGUGUGAGCUGUCGUACAGACAAGUGUCUCCCAACUUCAGGUAAGGUACACCUCCUUGUGAUUGAAGCUGGUGCAGCAGCCAUGAUCCCGGUGACCACAAGGGGGCGGCCGAGACUACGCUACACACGUGGAGAUCCUGGCUGAUGCCCUAUGUUCUGGGCAGGAAAUAAGACUGCCUGCUGAGGAGGAGACCUUCUCUGAGAUGCUGAGCAAAACUUCUGACUGUGUGUCACUGAUGACCAGAAGUCAAGAGUUCUGCUAAGAGGACCAUGCCCCUUUGCUGUUGAUGCACCCUGCUCCCUGUGUGUGCCUGGCCCCUCUCACAGUGCCCUUCCACCUGUCAACACAAAGGUGAGCGAGCCCUCGCCUGGCUCUGUCCAGGACAGAACUUCCCCAAAAGGGUUAAUACCAGAAAAACCACCCAAGACAGCUCUCCAGUUUCUAGCACCUUCCCUGCGAAACUGGAGGAGCCUGGCAAAGCCACAGGUCCUUUCAGCCAGAGCCAGAGUUCUGCAGUUCCCAGAGGGGGCUCUUGAGCUCCAGGGGACAGUUAUGGUGACCUUAAAAGGAACAGAAGCAAGCGUCUCAUAGCCUGUGCGGAAGAGGCCUGUGACACAGAUGAGCAAAGACAAAGUGAUGCAGGGUGCUCGCUCGCUCUUGGGUGCUCGCUCUUGGAAGCACUGGUUCCUAAGUUUGGAGGAACUAAGUUUGGUUCCUAGACCCCUUCAAGAAGUGCAAGAAAAAGCCAGAAAAUAGCAGACGCACCCACGGGUGUGCACUUCUGAUGCCCCCAACUUCUGUUAGCUUGGCUAUGGCGUCCUGCCCAGAUUAGCAAACUGUGCUUUGGGCACGGAUUCCAGAGAUUGGUCCUGUAGCAACACCCACACACUCAGCAUCCCUGUUGGAGCCCUGCGUGUCAGUGGAAGAAUUUGGGAACAACCUAAAUGUCAAUCAGCUGGACAGUAAUGAAAUUGGGUGUGAUAUUUAAACUAUAAAUGCUCAGCCCAGCCCUUGGGAAGAGCACAGAAACUCUCAGACAUAGCGACACAUGGUUGUAAUUCCAGCACUUGGGAAAUUAGGCCAAAGGAUUGCCAUGAAUUCUAGGCCAGUCUGGAUUAUAUAAUUGAGACCUUGUCUCAAAAUAAUAAUAACAACAACAUUAAUAAUUGGGGCUAAAGUUUAAAUUGAGGGCCAGGCAGUGGUGACACACGCCUUUAAUCCCAGCACUUGGGAGGCAGAGGCAGGUGGAUCUCUGUGAGUUUGAGGCCAGCCUGGUCUACAGAGCGAGCUCCAGGAUAGGCUCAUAAGCUACAGAGAAACCCUGUCUAGAAAAAAAAAAUUAAUUGUAAAAAAAUGAAUAAAUGUUAAAAGUUAAAAAAAAUAAAUGAAUGAAACUGCUUUGCCACCAUUAGGGCACAGUAUGCCAAUGAAUGCAAAUGGAUUCAAUUCAGAACAGGAGCGCUGGGGAGCUGGGUUGUGGGUCUGCGGGACAUGCAUACUGAGCAUGCGUGAGGUCCUGGUCUGAUGCCUACCACCACACGGACACACAAGGAAGCCUUGAGGUGACAUACAGAGACCUGCCUACAAGUGGGAUCUAUGGACCCGGAAGCAGGGAAAGAGCUACUGUCUAGGGUGUGUGAGCCCAGACCCCGUUAGGAGAUUUGACACACACAGAGGGACCUUGGCACAGGCAGCAUGGAUGGCCAGCAUGGCCACCUCCUUCCAGGAGUCUAUGAAUAUCCCAGGACAGUGUCCAAACAGGGCAGACUUUGAAUUGGAAGGAAACAGAAGCCUCUCUGUCUUUGCUGGACUCCUGAGUUCAGUUGUGGUUAUACUAAACAGAGCAAGAGCCUGGAGCCCAGGAUGGUAAUUCUCAGCCCACGCUUCCCUUUGGAGAUUUUACACGUGAUUUUUUUAAAUUUAUUUUUAUUUUAUGUGCAUUGGUGCUUUGCCUGCAUGUAUGCCUAUGUGAGGGUGUCUGGAGUUACAGACAUUGUGAGCUGUUAUGUAGAUGCUGGGAGUUGAACCCGGAUCUCUGGAAGAGCAAUUAGCCCUCACAGGGCAGUUCACAACCUUCUGUAACUCCAGUUCCAGAGAAGGAGAUCAGUGUCCUCUUCUAGACUCCAUGGCAACUGGGAACAAGGGCUCCACAGACAUACAUGUAGGCAAAACACCCAGGCAUAUAAGCUUUUAGGGGAAAAUAACUAACUCUUAAUUUGAUUAAAAUAUAUGCAAAUAAGAAUGCAGAUACACAACAAAGCUUUUACACAGCAAGUGUAGCUUCAGAGGUCAAAUUCCCAGACUGUCUAGGAAGAGCCCCAGCGACAGCUCCCGGGGCAAGUAUGGCAUUCACAAGUAGCUUGUUCUGUUUUCCUCUCCACUGACCUGCUCUGAGCCUCCCUGGGAACCUCUUUCUCUUUUAAGCAUUAUCCUCCUCUAGGAGUAGUAAAUGAUUAUGUGGUCAUUGACCUAUUCCUGUUACCACAAUGUAAUCCUGCCUUGUUUUUUGAGACAGAGUCUCUCACCAGGACCUGGAGCUCACUGAUUUAUCUAGGCUGGCUGGGAUUCUCCUGUCUCAGCCUCCCCACCACUGGGAUCACAAUUUGCCAUACCUGGCUUUUUUGUUUUGUUUGUUUGGUUGGUUUUUUGUUUGUUUGUUUGUUUGUUUUUCCGAGACAGGAUUUUCUGUGUACAGCCCUGGCUGUACUGGAACUUGCUCUAUAGC